rnacentral:rRNA from 1 species
GAACGCUAGCUACAGGCUUUACACAUGCAAGUCGAGGGGCAGCAUGGUCUUAGCUUGCUAAGGCCAAUGGCGACCGGCGCACGGGUGAGUAACACGUAUCCAACCUGCCGUCUACUCUUGGACAGCCUUCUGAAAGGAAGAUUAAUACAAGAUGGCAUCAUGAGUCCGCAUGUUCACAUGAUUAAAGGUAUUCCGGUAGACGAUGGGGAUGCGUUCCAUUAGAUAGUAGGCGGGGUAACGGCCCACCUAGUCUUCGAUGGAUAGGGGUUCUGAGAGGAAGGUCCCCCACAUUGGAACUGAGACACGGUCCAAACUCCUACGGGAGGCAGCAGUGAGGAAUAUUGGUCAAUGGGCGAGAGCCUGAACCAGCCAAGUAGCGUGAAGGAUGACUGCCCUAUGGGUUGUAAACUUCUUUUAUAAAGGAAUAAAGUCGGGUAUGCAUACCCGUUUGCAUGUACUUUAUGAAUAAGGAUCGGCUAACUCCGUGCCAGCAGCCGCGGUAAUACGGAGGAUCCGAGCGUUAUCCGGAUUUAUUGGGUUUAAAGGGAGCGUAGAUGGAUGUUUAAGCCAGUUGUGAAAGUUUGCGGCUCAACCGUAAAAUUGCAGUUGAUACUGGAUAUCUUGAGUGCAGUUGAGGCAGGCGGAAUUCGUGGUGUAGCGGUGAAAUGCUUAGAUAUCACGAAGAACUCCGAUUGCGAAGGCAGCCUGCUAAGCUGCAACUGACAUUGAGGCUCGAAAGUGUGGGUAUCAAACAGGAUUAGAUACCCUGGUAGUCCACACGGUAAACGAUGAAUACUCGCUGUUUGCGAUAUACAGCAAGCGGCCAAGCGAAAGCGUUAAGUAUUCCACCUGGGGAGUACGCCGGCAACGGUGAAACUCAAAGGAAUUGACGGGGGCUCGCACAAGCGGAGGAACAUGUGGUUUAAUUUGAUG